rnacentral:rRNA from 1 species
UAGGGAAUAUUGGACAAUGGGUGAGAGCCUGAUCCAGCCAUGCCGCGUGCAGGAAGAAGGCGUUAUGCGUUGUAAACUGCUUUUUGCCAGGGGAUAAAAAGACUCUGCGGAGUUUAUUGAAGGUACCUGGUGAAUAAGCCACGGCUAACUACGUGCCAGCAGCCGCGGUAAUACGGAGGAUCCAAGCGUUAUCCGGAAUCACUGGGCGUAAAGGGUGUCGAGGCGGUUGUAUUAGUCGUUCGUAAAAUCUACGAGCUUAACUUGUAGGCGGCGAACGAAACGGUACGACUUGAGGUUUGGAGAGGUGCGUGGAACUCACGGUGUAGGGGUGAAAUCCGUUGAUAUCGUGGGGAACACCAAAGGCGAAGGCAGCGCACUGGCCAAAAUCUGACGCUCACACACGAAAGCUAGGGUAGCGAAGAGGAUUAGAUACCCCAGUAGUCCCUGAGCGGGCUGGCAAGGCGCAU